GCCAGACUCCUACGGGAGGCAGCAGUGGGGGAUAUUGCACAAUGGGGGAAACCCUGAUGCAGCGACGCCGCGUGAGUGAAGAAGUAUUUCGGUAUGUAAAGCUCUAUCAGCAGGGAAGAAAAAAGACGGUACCUGACUAAGAAGCCCCGGCUAACUACGUGCCAGCAGCCGCGGUAAUACGUAGGGGGCAAGCGUUAUCCGGAUUUACUGGGUGUAAAGGGAGCGUAGACGGCAAUACAAGUCGGAAGUGAAAUACCCGGGCUUAACCUGGGAACUGCUUUGGAAACUGUAUGGCUGGAGUGCUGGGGAGGUAAGCGGAAUUCCUAGUGUAGCGGUGAAAUGCGUAGAUAUUAGGAGGAACACCAGUGGCGAAGGCGGCUUACUGGACAGUAACUGACGUUGAGGCUCGAAAGCGUGGGGAGCAAACAGGAUUAGAUACCCCAGUA
rnacentral:rRNA from 1 species